AUGGUCAUUUGGCUAAAGCACCACUGUGCUUUAACACAGCUUUCUCCUGUGUUUUUAAGGCUUUUAAAAAUGGAGUGUCUAUUAUGUUCACAGUUCUGGAAUACCUCCUGUGGGGAAGACGUAGAUCUACUCAGAAACACCAUUUGCUGGGAAAGGCACAUAAACUCAUACAAAACGCACUGUGCCAAGUAUAAGAACAGAGAAACGGACAGAGAAAUGCAGAGGAGAGAGAUGACGGGAAGGAAGGAAGGAAGGAAGGGAGGGAGGGAGGGAGGGAGGGAGGGAGGGAGGAGGAAGGAAGGGAGGCAAGCAGGAAGAAGGAAGGCAGAAAGGAAGGAAGGAAGGCAGACAGGCAGGAAGGAAGAAUGCAGGCUGGCAAGAAGAAAGAAAGGAAGAAAGGAAGCAAGAAGGAAGGAAGGCAGGGAGGCAAGCAGGAAGGAAGGAAGCAAGCAAGCUGGCAGGCAAGAAGGAAGGAAGGAAGGAAGCAAGAAGGAAGGAAGCAAGAAGGAAGAAAGGAAGGCAGGAAGAAAGGAAGGAAGGCAGGUAGGCAGGAAGGAAGGAGGCAGGGUGGCAAGAAGGAAGGAAGGAAGGAAGGAAGGAAGGAAGGAAGGAAGGAAAGAAGGAAGGAAGGAAGGAGGCAAGCAGGAAGCAAGCAAGCAAGCAAGCUGGCAGGCAAGAAGGAAGGAAGAAAGGAAGCAAGAAGGAAGGAAGGAAGCUGGAAGGAGGGAAGGAAGAAAGGAAGGAAGGAAGGAAGGAAGGAGGAAGGAAGCUGGCAAGCAGGAAGGAAAGAAGGAAGGCAGGAAGGAAGGCAGGAAGAAAGGAGACAGGCAAGAAGGAAGGAAGGAAGCAAGCAAGCUGGGAGGCAAGAAGGAAGGAAGAAAGGAAGCAAGAAGGAAGGAAGGAAGCUGGAAGGAAGGAAGGAAGGAAGGGAGGAAGGAGGCAAGCAGGAAGCAAGCAAGCUGGCAGGCAAGAAGGAAGGAAGAAAGGAAGCAAGAAGGAAGGAAGGAAGCUGGCAGGCAGGCAGGCAGGCAGGAAGGAAGGAAGGAAAAAGGAAGGAAGGAAGGAAGCUGGCAAGCAGGAAGGAAAGAAGGAAGGAAGGAAGGAAGCAAGAAGGAAGGAAGGAAGCAAGCAAGCAAGCUGGGAGGCAAGAAGGAAGGAAGCAAGCAAGCUGGGAGGCAAGAAGGAAGGAAGGAAAGAAGGAAGGAAGGAGGGAAGGAAGGAAGGAAGGAAGGAAGCAAGCAGGGAGGCAAGCAGGAAGGAAGCAAGCAAGCAAGCUGGGAGGCAAGAAGGAAGGAAGAAAGGAAGCAAGAAGGAAGAAAGGAAGCUGGAAGGAAGGAAGGAAGGAAGGAAGGAAGGAAGGAAGGAAGGAAGGGAGGGAGGGAGGGAGGGGCAGGGAGGCAAGCAGGAAGGAAGGAAGGAAGCAGGGAGGCAAGGAGGAAGGAAGGAAGGAAGCAAGCAAGCAGGCAGAUGGGCAGGAAGGCAGGUGGGCAGGUGGGCAGACGGGCAGUUGGGCAGGAAGCAGGCAGGCAGGCUCCUGACUCGGCGGGGGCACAAGGGACGUGCCUAAGCGACCCCCAGCUCAGCCCUCGCCGCAGGCCACCCACGGGCUGA
rnacentral:lncRNA from 1 species